rnacentral:rRNA from 1 species
GUGCCAGCCGCCGCGGUAAUUCCAGCUCCAAUAGCGUAUAUUAAAGUUGUUGUGGUUAAAAAGCUCGUAGUUGAACCUUGGGCCUGGCUGGCCGGUCCGCCUCACCGCGUGCACUGGUCCGGCCGGGCCUUUCCCUCUGUGGAACCCCAUACCCUUCACUGGGCGUGGCGGGGAAACAGGACAUUUACUUUGAAAAAAUUAGAGUGCUCCAGGCAGGCCUAUGCUCGAAUACAUUAGCAUGGAAUAAUAAAAUAGGACGCGCGGUUCUAUUUUGUUGGUUUAUAGGACCGCCGUAAUGAUUAAUAGGGACAGUCGGGGGCAUCAGUAUUCAACUGUCAGAGGUGAAAUUCUUGGAUCAGUUGAAGACUAACUACUGCGAAAGCAUUUGCCAAGGAUGUUUUCAUUAAUCAGGAACGAAAGUUAGGGGAUCGAAGACGAUCAGAUACCGUCGUAGUCUUAACCAUAAACUAUGCCGACUAGGGAUCGGACGGUGUUAUUCAUGACCCGUUCGGCACCUUACGAGAAAUCAAAGUGCUUGGGCUCCAGGGGGAGUAUGGUCGCAAGGCUGAAACUUAAAGAAAUUGACGGAAGGGCACCACCAGGGGUGGAGCCUGCGGCUUAAUUUGACUCAACACGGGGAAACUCACCAGGUCCAGACACAAUAAGGAUUGACAGAUUGAGAGCUCUUUCUUGAUUUUGUGGGUGGUGGUGCAUGGCCGUUCUUAGUUGGUGGGGUGACUUGUCUGCUUAAUUGCGAUAACGAACGAGACCUUAACCUGCUAAAUAGCCCGCAUUGCUCCGGCAGUGCGCUGGCUUCUUAGAGGGACUUUCGG